rnacentral:rRNA from 1 species
AACGAACGCUGGCGGCAUGCCUAACACAUGCAAGUCGAACGAGACCUUCGGGUCUAGUGUCGCACGGGUGCGUAACGCGUGGGAACCUGCCCUUAUGUUCGGAAUAACUCCCCGAAAGGGGUUCUAAUACCGGAUAAUGUCUUCGGACCAAAGAUUUAUCGCCUUUGGAUGGGCCCGCGUUGGAUUAGCUAGUUGGUAGGGUAAAAGCCUACCAAGGCGACGAUCCAUAGCUGGUCUGAGAGGAUGAUCAGCCACACUGGGACUGAGACACGGCCCAGACUCCUACGGGAGGCAGCAGUGGGGAAUAUUGGACAAUGGGCGAAAGCCUGAUCCAGCAAUGCCGCGUGAGUGAUGAAGGCCUUAGGGUUGUAAAGCUCUUUUACCCGGGAUGAUAAUGACAGUACCGGGAGAAUAAGCUCCGGCUAACUCCGUG